AGAGUUUGAUCAUAGCUCAGGAUGAACGCUAGCGGUGCGCCUAACACAUGCAAGUCGAGCGUGAUUCUUGGGGAGCUUGCUCCUCGAGAUGAAAGCGGCAGACGGGUGAGUAACGAGUUUGUACCUGCCCCUAAGAGAGGGAUAGCUCCGAGAAAUCGGAAUUAAUACCGCAUAUGCCCUACGGGGUAAAGCCGCAAGGCGCUUAGGGAGGGGCAUGCUUUCUAUCAGCUAGUUGGUGAGGUAACGGCUCACCAAGGCGAUGACGGAUAGCUGGUCUGAGAGGACGGCCAGCCACAAUGGGACUGAGACACGGCCCAUACUCCUACGGGAGGCAGCAGUGAGGAAUCUUCCACAAUGGGCGAAAGCCUGAUGGAGCGACACCGCGUGAAGGAUGAAGGAUUUGUUUCUGUAAACUUCUUUUCUGUGGGAAGAUAAUGACGGUACCACAGGAAUAAGGGGCGGCAAACUACGUGCCAGCAGCCGCGGUAAUACGUAGGCCCCGAGCGUUAUCCGGAAUUACUGGGCGUAAAGCGUCUGUAGGCGGAUGAGAAAGUCAGGUAUGAAAGCACAAAGCUCAACUUUGUGUCGUGCUUGAAACUUCUCGUCUAGAAUGAGGGAGGGGAAAGCGGAAUUAUGCGAGUAAGGGUGCAAUCUGUUGAUACGCAUAAGAACACCAAAAGCGAAGGCAGCUUUCUGGAACUCUAUUGACGCUGAGAGACGAAAGCGUGGGGAGCGAAAAGGAUUAGAUACCCUUGUAGUCCACGCCCUAAACGAUGAUAACUGUAUGUCGGCGUAUGCCGGUGUACUAAGUAAACACUUUAAGUUAUCCGCCUGAGGAGUACGAUCGCAAGAUUAAAACUCAAAUGAAUAGACGGGGACCCGCACAAGCAGUGGAUCAUGUGGUUUAAUUCGACAAUGAACGGGGAACCUCACCCAGACUUGACAUCUCGGAAACCUUCCGGAAACGGGGGGGUGCCCGCAAGGGAAUCCGAAGACAGGUGUUGCAUGGUUGUCGUCAGCUCGUGCCUUGAGGUGUUCGGUUAAGUCCGUUAACGAGCGCAACCCAUGUCGUUAGUUACUAUGUCUAGCGAGACUGCCUGAGUUAAUCAGGAGGAAGGUGUGGAUGACGCCAAAUCAGCAUGGCCCUUACGUCUGGGGCUACACACAUGAUACAAUGGUCGGUACAAAGGGUUGCAAUACAGCGAUGUGGAGCCAAUCCCCAAAGCCGAUCUCAGUCCGGAUUGGAGUCUGCAACUCGACUCCAUGAAGUCGGAAUUGCUAGUAAUCGUGUAUCAGCUAUGGCACGGUGAAUAUGUUCCCGGGUCUUGUACUCACCGCCCGUCAAAGCAUGGGAGGUGUUUCUACCGGAAGCCCCCGAAGCAAUAUUGGGGUCCAGGGUAGGAAUGCUGACUGGGCUUAAGUCGUAACAAGGUAUCCGUAGGAGAACCUGCGGAUG
rnacentral:rRNA from 1 species